rnacentral:lncRNA from 1 species
GGGCCGGGCGGCAGGACACGGUGCAAGCGGCCGCCUACAGCCCCGGCCGCCCGGACGGGACGCUGGAGGUCCGGAGAGCCGCCUGCCGAGCCCUGCGAGCGGCCCUGCAGCACCGAGCAGGUGGGGAGGAGAGAGAGAAGCGGAGAUUCCCCUCCCUCCUGUGGUGCGUCCCCUGGGGCAGGAGGAGCCGGAGAAGAGGCCGAUCGGCUAAUGCUGCCAACAACCUUAAUGAGGGUGGCCUGCAAGACUCCAAGGAGGGAGUGGCUCUGACAGGCAUGUCGCUAAACGGAAACUGUGAAGAAGCAAGCAGAGGCACAGGCACUUAAAGCUCCUGGGUGGCGUCAAGGCAACGCCCUUGCAGAUUUGCUCUUAUAGCAUGAGGACGACGGGCUGAAUUCACCCUGGUGAUCUUCUGGAAAGGGGACAUGGAAGCUAUCACCCAGCUCUUGGGAAAAGCUGCUACCUUCUGUAGCAACAGUGUCCGAGCCAGAUAACCGUCCUGCUCCCACCCCACCAUUGCUGCAGCAAAACCCAGAANUUGGGAAAAGCUGCUACCUUCUGUAGCAACAGUGUCCGAGCCAGAUAAUGGUCCUGCUCCCACCCCACCAUUGCUGCAGCAAAACCCAGAAGAGGGUCAUGUUCUACCAC